CACAUGUCGGAGGGCCAAAGGGUGUUGGGGCCCUGGUGACCCGCGUUCGGGCGAGGGAACGCCAGAUCCAAAGAUAUUUUCCAUCAUAAGGGUCUUCAGGCUGCCCUUUGUCUGGUUCCUCACCUAGGACCUGUCUGCCUUGGGUGACCCUACCAGGGGCAUAAAGCCCCAGACAGCAUAGCUCCUAGGAUCAUUGGGACACUCAAACCCCUCCACCACGAUAAGGUGGCAGCCCAAGACUUGUUAUUUAUUCCCAACUAAAUAAAAUCUUUAUAAAGACUAAAUGCAAUAAAUGCAGGUAGAUGCAAUUUUGCUUUCUUUCCCCCCCUCCCCCUGAAAACAGUUUAAAAAAGAAACAGUUGUAAUGUUAACUGGAAGUGUU